UCCACAUGACAUUUUGACAUUUCUCAC
rnacentral:piRNA from 1 species